rnacentral:lncRNA from 10 species
CACACGUAUGCUUAUUGCAGCACUAAUUACAAUAGAAAAGACUUGGAACCAACCCAAAUGCCCAUCAAUGAUAAAGCAAACAUGGCACAUGGCAUAUACCAUGGAAUACUAUGCAGCCACAAAAAAUAAUGGGUUCAUGUCCUUUACAGGGACAUGGAUGAAGCUGCAAGCCAUAAUUCUCAGCCAACUAACACAGGAACAGAAAACCAAACACUGUGUGUUCUCACUCAUAAGUGGGAGCUGAACAGUGAGAACACAAGGACACACAGAGAGGAACAUCACACCCUGGGGCCUGUUGAGGGGUGGGGCGCGUUGAGGGGUGGGGCCCAAGGGGAGGGAGAGCAUUACGACAAAUACCUAAUGCAUGUGGGACUUAAAACCUAGAUGACGGGUUGAUAGGUGCAGCAAACCACCAUGGCACAUGUAACAAACCCGCAGUUCUGCACAUGUAUCCCAGAACUUAAAGUAAAAUAAUAAUAAUUUAAAAAAACAGGGCAGAGGUAAAAUGGUAAAAAAAUAAAAUAAAAUAAAAGACAGGAGCCUGAGGUCAGCCACCAACAGUCUUUGUAACCCUCAGGUGGCACAUGUCUUUUUUUCUCAUAGAUGGAGAAAAUUUCCAGGGUUAAUCUACUAUCUUGCCAAAAAUACCCAUGAUUUGUCAGUUAAUCCCCUGAUAUUCUUUGUGCUGGAAAAUCUGUCAGAAUGACCAAAAAGGCUUACAUUCUACAGUCUAUGAGAAACAAAACCACUGGGGUAGACUGAAAUGAAAUACAGUCAUUAGUAGUAAGUUUGAGGUUGACUGCUCUUUAAAAAAAGAAACAGUUUUUUUUUUCUUCUGUUUUUCCAGUAGUGUCACUCUUCAGGGGCCCCUCUUUACUUUGUACUCUUUGACAGUCAGAAAUAUACCUACCCAUUUCCAAUUUCCUACUAUUGUACUUGAAAUAUGGAUUUCACAUAUUUGGGGUAAUCACUUCAUCAGUAAAGUUGGCCUUCGUAAGUUAAAAACACUCAAAUUUUAGAAACUCAAUGUUCUGUGGGUUACAAAUGACUGCCCACCAUGCUGUGGGGCAUGACACCCUUUUGUAAUUUCUGAAAUACGAAGUACUAUUUUUUCUUUAAUGCAUUCUCUCUUUUUAGUUUCUCCAUCCUGUGAUAUGUCUGUCCAAAAGGACUUCCCAAAAACCACUGUAUGGCAGAAAAGGUUUUCAAAAUGCAUGAGAGAAUUAUAGCAAAGAGAAAUAACUCACACUAAAGUUUUUAAAAUAUCUCCGGACUAUGGCUAGGAACUAUUACUAUGGCUAACAAGUGUAAUUUCAGCAUUUUGGGAGGCCAAGGCAGGCAGAUCCCUUAAGUCUAGGAGUUUGAGACCAGCUUGGGCAAUGUGGUGAAACCCCCCUCUGCAAAAAAUACAAAAUAAUUAGCGGGGUGUGGUGGUGCACACCUGUGGUCCCAGCUACUCAUGGAGGCUAAGGAGGGAGGAUCACUUGAGCCCGGGAGGCAGAGGUUGCAGUGAGCUAAGAUUAUGCCACUGCACCCCAGCCUGGGAGACAGAUUCUGUCUCAAAAAAAAAAAAAAAAUCUCUGGACUAUAAACUCUCAUGAAUCUAGCAUUAUUUGGAUCAGAAAUAUAUUCAUAGGAUAGACUGUGAUGACAAAUAAAUCAAAUUUGGGAUGCCUCAACACAAGAAAUAUUUUUAUGUAUCAUUAUGUAACAGUCCAGGGAGGCUGAAAAUAGAGUGUAUGUUGCAGGUAAGAAAUUUUGCUCUGCAGUCAUUCAGGAAUUGAAGCUGAUAGUGAUUCUGCCAUCUUGAACAUGUGGCAUCGCUGUCUGUCUGGAGGGUGCCAUCACAGUCAGCUAGAAGGGGAAAGGACACAGAGAAACACAUAUGGAGUGGCCACAUCACUUCCAUUCACAUUCCACUGCCCAAAGCUCAUGGCCACAAUUAAUUGCAAGAGAAGCUAGGAAAUGCUAUCUCUAUAUAUACACGAAGGAAGAAGUGGAAGGUGGACUUUGGUAAACCGUAUCUCAUGUAAGAAAAAUUAGGCUGGGCAUGGUGGCUCAUGCCUGUAUUCCCAGCACUUUGGGAGGCUGAAGACGGUGGAUCAACUGAGGUCAGGAGUUCAAGACCAGCCUGACCAACAUGGUGAAACCCCGUCUCUCCUAAAAAUACAAAAUUAGCCAGGCAUGGUGGUGCAUGCCUGUAGUCCCAGCUACUGGGGAGGCUGAGGCAGAAGAAUUGCUUGAACCCGAAAGACGGAGGUUGCAGUGAGCCAAGAUUGCGCCAUUCCACUCCAGCCUGGGCAAUAAGAGUGAAACUCUGUCUCAAAAAAAAGAAAAGAAAAAAGAAAGAAAGAAAAAUUAAAACUUUCAAUAAGAGAAUAUUAUUCUUCAGUAUUAUUUUCCAUCACUUCCCAAAGUGAUGCUUAACUUCCUGCUAGACCAGCUUUCAUGCUGAUCUCAAAACACAGUGUUCUUCCAGUCUGUCUCAUGCUCUCCCAUAUCUGCAAUCUUUGCUCUGCACAGUGGUAAGGACCAUUUUUCUAAUUCUAUAUUCUUGAAUCACUCCCAGUUAUUCCCUGGAUAGAGUAAUAUGAGGCAUGGUGUCUCUCUGAAUUUCUUUCUUUAUCUCUAAAAUGGGAAUACUACUAAUAUCAACCUCAUUGUUGAUACGUAUUAAAUGUAGUUGACUUCAUAUAUGUAAAGCACUUAGUAUAGUGAACGUGUCUGAAUUAUUGUUCUAUAACCUUACCUUCCAUGAUUCUAUCUAAUACACAUCCCAACUCAGUGAUACACAGUGUCAAUGACAGAAACAUAAUCAGCAAGAAUAACAAUCACUUAUGCAGUGCUUCCUAUGUGCCAGAAACUGUGAGAUAAUAAAUGUUUGUUUUUGUUGUUUUAAGACACUAAAUUUUAGGGUGAUUUGUUACAUAGUAGCAGAUAAAGUGGUAAGAGGUUAUGUCUACUCUGUUUAACUGUUCUGGGCCUAGUUUCCUACAGUCUCUAAUGUUUCAUCUGUAAAAUGACGACAAUUCCCCUUUUAUCCAUUUGUUACAAUUACAUUAAAGUAUUACCUUAGACUAAGACACAUGUUACAAGGGAUAUGAAAGUGUUUCACUCAAUGCCCAGCACAUGGAAGAUAUUUAGUAAAUAUUUCCAUAAUACUUCUGCUGCAACAAAUCACACAGCUCUCUCCUCACUACCAGCUUGGAUUUCUAGCAAUGGAGAGAGUUUCUUUAAUGAAUUCCUACACAUAAUUAUAAGAUCCUACAUAGGUUGCUAUCCAAGAAAAUUAAGGAAAAAAUCAUUUCUACACUAAUUCUCAGCAUGCCUGAGCAGCUUACAAAGGAAGCUCUUUCCACGUGUCAGUGUCACACUCCAGGAUUUUAAUGUCCCAUUUCUGAGAAACCAUUCCAAACUGCGGUAAAUGCAGUCCAAAUGUAUAAGGACUUGGUACAUUGGUAACAAAGCACAUGCAAGAAAAAUAUGCAAACUCAGGAAAAAUGCAAAUUUGAAACAGUAAGUGAUUUCACUUGGUCAUGAAAUACCCCAGGGAGUGCACCAGGGCAGUGAUUUAUUAAGAGAACUUUUAGAAGUAAGUGUACAACCCCAAGCGCUCUGUGGGUUUCUAUAAGACCCCACUUUUACAAUUGGGAGAGACUAAAUUCUCUUGGGCCUUUAAUUAUCUGUUCUUAAAAACCUAAAUAAUAAACAUUGCAAGCACUCAGCCAGUUCAUAAUUAUUUUCAUGACAGUGACCCUCUUGGGGUUUUGCUGAUUGGUCCUUACUUAGAAGGUGUAAAUAGAGUAGGCAAGUAAGAAAAACAAAGCAUAAAAGAGGCAGUGCAUCUCUCUGCUUGAGGAAAACUCACUUUGGACAGCACCUUGAAUGCUAUCAGGGAAGCUAGAGUGUUCUCCUGUUCUUUGCUGUCCUUGCCAGUGUCUUCUCCUGAACUCACAUCAGAAGCAUGCCUUCAAGGGGAAAAUGCAACAAUAGUAAUAUUAAUAAUAAUGAGUGAAGUGUAUUAAGCACUUUUGUGCCAGUACUGUUCUCAGACAGGCAAACAGACUAUUUUUCACAAUAUUUCACAAAUGAGGAACAGAAAAGUUAAUAACUUGACCAAAGUCUUACAGUAAGCAGGUGGUACCAGCAGGGUUCUAACCCAGGCACUCCAAUUCUAAGGUCAACUUUGUUAGUGUUAUCUAAAAAAGAAAAGCAAUAAUAAAUUAUCCACAAGAAAAUUUUACAACUCAAGUUUUUCAUACUCUUUAAAAAGGCAUUUUUUCACAUGUACUCUCAUGUUCUAUGAUUAGACCUAAUCAUUGUCACUUCACGGCUAGAGAAACUAAGACCAGAAGAGCUUCCAGAUCUUGACUAGCACCACUCAAUGAGUGGGAUGACCAGAACCCUGUACUGAUCAUGCAAACUUCACCACAUAACAGCUUGUGAUAUUGAGUGAGUUGUUUCACCUAUACGACCCCUCUAAACCAAUUUAUUAAUCUAGAAAAUGGGAAUAAUAGCAAUUUCUAUGUAAUAAGUUGUUGGAGCACAAGAUAAAGUUAUAUGUAUAAAACAUUUAGCACAGUUCCUGGUGCAUAACAGGUCUGUAGUAAAUAUUUGUUGUAAUUAGCAGCAAAAUCAUCUCCCUCAUUACUGCAGUUGAUUUUCCUUUAUUAUUGGAAAGAAAUUUCUCAACUGAGUUUCAGUUGAAUACAGUAUUAGAUUAUUCCUUAACUGAGUUUCAGCAUUUUAAAUGUAUACUCCCUACUCAAAACUACCUACUAAAUCACGCCUGUAAUUCCAGCACUCUGGCAGGCCAAGGCGGGUGGAUCAUGAGGUCAGGAGAUCAAGACCAUCCUGGCUAACACGAUGAAACCCCAUCUCUACUAAAAAAUGCAAAAAAAUUAGCCAGGCGUGGUGGCUGGCACCUGUAGUCCCAGCUACUUGGGAGGCUGAGGCAGGAGAAUGGUGUGAACCCGGGAGGCAGAGCUUGCAGUGGGCCGAGAUCGUGCCACUGCACCACAGCCUGGGCGACAGAGUGAGACUCCGUCUCAAAAACAAACAAAAAAACACAAAAAUCUACCUACUAAAAAGAAGUUCUUCAAUGCUUAGACUUUGAGCAAAGAAAAAGUCUGCUCUAACAGGAAGCUGGUGAUAUAGAAAGGUAAAGUUUCACUUCACAGGCACUUUGAUUUCCCUUCGAGGUGGAUACUGAAUGAUUUGUGUGUGCGCACAUUUUUCUAUGCAUUAUUCAAAAUUAAAAUUCCUUAGAGGAAACCACUGAAAGCCAAUCAUUUACAAAACUUUAAAAAUGACAUCUUGAAGAGUUCUUUGGUGCUCAUUCAUCAAACUUAGCAAUGAUUUAACUGUAAUUCUUUAUUCAGAUUCAUCUCCCACAAAAUAAAAAUGCCAUAAAGCUUUACAGUACUGUAUCCUAAUGAAUAGAGAAACUAAAGAAAAAGUAAGAUGAGCAAGUGAGAGGAAAACCCGAAAAUGAGCCUGUCCUGGCAUGUUUCUAAAAAGAAAGAAACAAACAAACAAGCAGCCCCUCCUCUCAGCUCUUGGGAAAGAAAUAUUGAAUCUUGACAAUAUCUGCACUUCAUAGUUGAUUCAUAGCAUGACCUAUCUCAAACAAUUUAAGAUUCAAAUGAAGUUUGCAAUUAAUCUUUCGAUAUCACUUUGCAAAACAUUCUCAUAACCUUAUCCAGCCCUUUUACAAAUCAAUCCUGUGAGGUGAACAUCACUGUGUUCCCAUUUUACAGAGAAAGGCACUGAGCCACAGAGAGGUUAUAUACUCAUGAUCAAUAAGCUGGUAAGACUAAGAACCAGGAAUGAUACUGUCUUCCUUCUCCAAAUAUCCUGUUCUUUAUUAUGAGUACCUAAACAGUAUUAAAAAUUAAUUACAGCUCAACAAUAGUAAGUAAAUGUCCUCAUGUGAAAUCCACCGUUUAAAACUUAAGGUUAUCUAUUUAUCAAAUAAAUUAAAUCCUACUCACUUAACAAUAUUCAUUGAGCUCAUUCUGUAAACAACCAUUAGGCCAGGGGCAGAUAUGAAAUAUGAGGCUCAAUCUGUGAUCACAGAGAUGAAAUAUACAAUUUAGAGAGAGAAAGAUAAGCAUGAUGACAAAUAAAUAAUGUAUGAAAAUUAGCCAUUAUCUUAGGCCAACUUUUUCUAAGCUGUAAGCUGUCUGCCUACUUCUGCCAGGUGUUAGUAAUUGUUUUAAAAAGUGGGGGAAGAAGAGUACUUCAUGGUGGGAAGAUAUUCAUUGAGGACAUAAGCAUCUUCCUCUUAGAAAUUAACAAUGCACAGUGGCCUAUUGCAAGUUUUGAAAGCCCUGCAAACAAUAAAAGCCUGAUUAGUUUUUAUUGAAUCAGUAUCUCCUAAACACUUUUUCAUGAAACAAGGUUACUCACAAAUCUUGUCGAGGAACUAAUGUCCUAGGAAAGUGGUUUUCAAGCUUGAGCAUGUACAUAAGUAUCAUUGGAAAGGUUGCAAAAAUACAAAUGUGUGGGCUCCACUCCAGAAAUUCUGAUUGAAGUGGUCUCAUCUGUCAUCUGAGAACUUGCAUUUUUGUCAGAUUCCUAGCUGAUCUGAUGUUUCAGGACUGAGAACUUAAUUUGAGUAGUAUCUCUACAGAACAGUUUUUAAAAUGUUCUCCUGGAGUAGGAUGAUUAUACUUAACAAAAAUGUAAUACACUCAGGUGAUGGACACCCUUAGUAUCCUGAUUGGAUCACUACACAUUAUAUACAUGUAACACAUUUUCUCAAGUACCCCAUAAAUUUGCACAAAUAAAUAAAUAAAUAAAAUUAUACUUUUCUCAAAUAAAAAAAUAAAAUAAAUGUUCCUCUUGAAUGGUAGAAUCUUUGUUUUUUUGUGAUAAUCAUAAAUACAUAUAAAUAUUCUCAUCAUUACAUGCAUGUAGUUACCUUCCUUUACAUGAUGCACCAGAAAGAAUACCCACUCUAAGAAGGAAAGAAUGAAGAGAAGAAGGCAUUGUUUAAAAGACCUAUUAUUAGAAUAAGUCAAAUUCUAUGUCUACCAUUAUUAAGCUGUUUGACUUUGAGCAGGGAUUGGAAGGCAUUUUAAAUUGAGGUGGAGAUAUGCACAAAGCCACGUGGGAAAUGUCAUGUGUCCCUGCAUAAAGAGAACAAGCUAUUUUGCUUGGUUGGAGAUGAGGAGACAGAGGCUGUACAUAAGAAUGUGUUCAAUUUAAAGCAACAAAAUAUAUCGACCAAACUACUUUGAGCAAUCAAGGGGAUAUAUUGGCUCACAUCACUGAAAUAUAUACUGGCACAGCAGAUUUCCAGUUAGGUCUGAUCUGCUAGCUCUGUCCCCUCCAGAAUACAGGCUCCAGGCAGGCAGGAAGGAAGAGGACAUCAGUUCUCUUGGUGUCUAGCACGCUGCCUGUAUUAAGGUAGGUCCUCAAUAAAUUCAUGUUGUAGGAAAUGAAUGCAUGUUCUCAAAGAUGCGGUUACUUUCAGUAUCACUGCUUUCCUCAUGGUUUCCACUUCAAUAUUAGUCUAACUUGCCUUAGGGACCCAAGAUGGCUGCUAUUCACUUCAAUUAGCUAAACACUUCUCUUUUCAUGGCUGUGAGAGACUAGCUACCUCUUCCAUAAAUGAAUUUUCUCUUCUUUCUGGGCACAAUAGUCUCUAUUUCCCAGCCUCUUUUACAAUUAGGUGUAUCCAUGCAACUCAGUUCUAGCCAAUGGCGUGUGAGUAGUAGUGAUAUCCACCACUUGCAGACCUACACAUAAAGGCUCCCAGACACAUCUUCUGUGCUCUUUACUGGAACACUUGCUUGAUUCCAAUAAAUACAGCAACCUUAGCAGCUACAUAUUGCAGUUGGCAGAGCUUUCAUGUUUCAGCUUCUUCAUAUUUUUUAGUUUUGUUGUCACUGUUGGUUUUUUUUUUAAUUGAUUCAGGAGAUGACCUAAUAAAAAAUUGAAGAAAAAUAAAGCAUUUUGUUCUGGAUUUCUCAUUAGGAACAUGAGGUUUACUCUAUUGCAACUGGCUUAGUUCAUAUGAUCAUCCCCUGAGGUGAGGGAAAAAGAUGCGUGAAUUGAUUAAGCCAAGGUCACAUGGUCGAAAUGUAGAAUUGGGUUUUGAGGUCAGUUUCCCUAAAUCACCCAGAUAUCCAAGUGGAAAUCAGGCUCCAUUGACAAAAGGGAACAGUUCUUAGAAAUGCAACUACAAAUGUCCAAUCCCAGUUGGCAAGUUCGAAGCAAGGAAGGGCUUUCCAUUAAAGAAUGUGGAUGCUACCUGGUGGGCAACUGGAGGCCACUGGCAUAUAUUUUUUUUGGGGGGGGUUUCAUAAACUAUUGGUUUUUUUAAUUAUUAUUAUACUUUAAGUUUUAGGGUACAUGUGCACAAUGUGCAGGUUAUGAUGUGCUGCUGGAUUUGGUUUGACCACUGGCAUAUUUUAAGCAUGGGAGUAACACUGUCAGGUUUUUUAAAUUACAAAAUGCUUUAGCAUAGAGAAAAUUAUAAAGAACAAUAUAAGUAACAGAUAUGCACUCACUAUCCUGCUUAAUCAAAUGUCACACUUUGCCAAGCUUGAUUCAAAUUUUUUAAAGCAAAGAAACAUUACAGAUAUGGCUGCAACAUCCUAUGUGCCCCACCGCUGAUACAUACCUCUCUUCCCAAGGGUAACCACUUUCUGACUUUGAUACUUAUCAUUCCCAGGCAUGAUUAAAUGCUAUUGCUGAAUUUGCAUAUAUACAUAAAUAAUAUAUACAGUUGUUUGCAUGUUCUAAAACUUUGCAUUAAAUAAUAUCAAAUAAUUAAAAAUUUUCACAAAUUGCAUUUUUAACUCAGUCUUUUAUAAGAUUGCCAAUAAUGAUAUCUCUUCAGAUCAUUCAUUUUGACUAUUAUAUUAUUUUUCAUUGUAUGACUAUGCCAUGGCUCACUUAUCCAUUCUGUUAUUGAUAAACAUUUGUGUUGUUUCCACAAUUUUGCUAUUAAAAUAAUGGCAUUGUGAACAUUCUUGUGUGUAUAUCACUGUGUACACAUGCUAGAGUUUCUCUAAUGUAUUAUGGUGUAUAUUGCUGGGCCAAAGGCUAUGUAAGUCUUCAACUUCCCUAGAUGUCAUACCAACUCAUACAUAUAUGACCAGUGUGAGCAUUCUCAGUGCUCUACAUUGUCCAGAUUCUACAUGAAGCACUGGUGGCCUAUUGGUCAGGUUGACUGAUAUUAGAAGGUUAUUGCCAAAGUCUAUGUGAGAGAGACUGAGGGUCUGAAAUACCUAGAUGUAAGGGAUAUAAAGUGAGAGAGGAAAGAAGUUAACAUAUUUAGGAGCAAAAUCCACAUGACUUUGUGAUUGAUUAUGGAGAAAAUAAGGAGAAGAAGGGAACAGGAAGACUCUCAAGUCUCCAGAUUGAACACAAGAGGAAGCUUAUGUGCCGUGAGACUGAUGACAAAUUCCUUUUGAACAUAGUGCCUUUGAGGGCUUGGUAGUAAAAAAGAAAGCACUAUCCAUCAGGCAUUUGGAUAUUUAGGUCUGGAAGACUGAAAAGAGAUCAAAACAGAAAAUACAAAUUAUAGAAUCAUCGAGAUGGGUAAAAUCAGAAGAGUUGGAUCAAGAAAAGUACCUAGAAUCAGUAGAGAAGUGAGUUAAGAAAAUAUCUCUGGGAAACAUUAAUAUUUAAAGGUAUAUAAAAGGAAGAGAAGACUGUGGAGAAGACAGAGACUGAAGAAGGAGACAAAAUGUGUCAUACUGUAGUAGCCAGAGGAAUAGAGCUUCAAAGAAUGAGUGGUCAACCACAUUAAACACAGCUAGAAAACCAAGAAGGUAAAGAAAUGAAAAUUAAACAUUAACAUACAAUGAAGUUAUUGAGUCCAUGUUAAAAUGGUUUCAAUGGAAUAGCAUCAAUGGAAAUAAUUGCAAUUAGUAAAAGAAUUUUAGAAAAAGAAAAAAUUAAUACAGCUAACUUUCUCAAAUUAAAUUUUUUGAAAAUAAAACAGUGAGAUGGAAUUCGAGUGCAAGAUGUUUGUUGAAAAUCAACACACAUGAAAGGAAAGAGAGUGAACCUAAAAAAAUUGGCUCCAGAGUCUAUUAAUGUAAAGACUAUGUUAUAUUGUCUCUCUAUCUUUAGGGAAACAUAUACCCAAUUCAUCUUGUGUCACCAGAAUCAGAUUCAUCAAACCCAUUCUGGACCACUCUGAUCACUAGUUUCACCCUCACAGUCAUAGUAAAGAAACUAAAGCAAAAGACUACAAGAGCAAAGGACAGAAAGGGAAAUGUUAUUUUCUCCCCUCACCUUUGCCCUCUUUGAUUUUCUCCAUUGUUGCUAAAAGGAACACUUAGAAAACUAUGAAAGAAACUUCUGCCUGUAAAUGCAGCUCCAUGAUUAUGAAUUCUGAAUCCUUGUAACAGAAGAACCAAUAGGACUGAUCCAUGACUUCUAUUAGUAGAGACUGGGAAGGUAGGUGACUUUAGCUCACCAAGCCUGAUCACAGCAAAAUAGAAAAUGAUCACAGUGUCCCCUUUUUAUCCUGGGGUAACAAUGAACAUUCAGUGGGAGCCAACUACUGUAUUAAAGUCCUGGGUGCAGCUCCUGGCACAUGACAUGGCCCACAAGGUAGUAGUUCUGAGUACCCUUGCCUAUCAGUGGUGCUGGGGCGAGAAGGGAGGGCAGCCUGCUCACUAGGGAGAGCAGGAAUGAGGCUAGGAAGUACAGGGACCUGGCAAAGAUGUCUCCUGUUUGAGAGAGACUUCAGUUAAUGUUCAGUCAACUUCCUGUGGUGCUAAGAAGUGAAAGUUGAACUUGACUAUCAAGGAACAGAGGCAGGUUGUUAGCUGGGCCCCUGGGAGGAAGUCAACAAGCUCCACCACAUCUGACAACACCUACUGCUUGCAGCCCUUCCCCCAGGUCAGGCAGCUGCACACCUCAUGCUUCCAACUGAGGGGGAAUGAAUGGGUACCAAGAGUAGGUGAGUCUACUUCUUUCCCAGGGGUGAGUAGCGGGUGAAGAAAUCAGCAUGUAGUGGACAUUUACAUGUGCCGGAUACCUCAUAUAUGCAGUGUGGUAUCAUUAUCCUCACUGUGCAGAUGAAGACACUGAGGCUCAGGGACUUGUUCAAGACACACAUCUGGUCAAUAGGGAGCCAGGAUUCAAAAUCACGUCAGUCUAGUACUCAAGUCCUCUGUUCUUUCCACGACUACAUUAGAUGUAUCCCUAGAUAGUCUAGGUGUAACAGCAUGAGUCUCCCAUGAAAGGAAGUGGGGGCUCUUGGAACAUACCUCUUUAGGAAGCCUUCCAUCAUUGUGCUGCCUUCCUCCUCUGUGCAGCCUCAGCACUCACUGUUGAGCCCUUCUCUAGGAGUUUGCAAUCUACGGGGAGUGAUGGGCACAUAAGGAAAUAAUUUCAAUGUAGUAUGGCAAAUGCUGAGCUAGAUAAAUGCGCGAAUGACUAUGAAGAACAGAGGAUUGGGGUCACCUAACUCAACAUGAGACUCAUGGAAGUCUCCUGAGGAGAAACCUCUGAGUCCUAGAGAGUGAGAAUUGGCCAGAAAAAUUAAGAAGGGGCAGGGAAUUCCAGAGAGAAGUAACAGGUAAACAAAAGCAAAGAGGCAUAAGAUAGUCUGGAGUCUGGUCAAAUUACAAUCAGUUGGAAGUAGUAGAGAAUAAAAUACAAAGUGGAGAGAGGGGAGAAGUAAAGCUGAAUAGAUAAACAGGGUCAGCUUACAGAGGGUCCUAUGCAGGCUAAAUUCCAGAUGCUGCUAUAAAAAUACAGGAAAGAAAACUCAUGAAAUAUUUUAAGAUUUUUGUGGAAUAUUUUAAGAGCUUUUGUGAACAUCUCAUGAAGCACUCCUGUGUUUGGAGGCAGCACUGGCAGCAAAUCAAACAUAAUAAAAGGUCUGUACAUCAAACAUUGACACAUUUAUUCAACAAGCACAUAUUGAGCACCUACUAUGUGGCAGGAACUCUCUUCAUCAGCAAGUAUUUUGGCACUAAAUAAAACACAGAACACACCGCCCUCUUUGAAAUGACAAUAAAGAAAAUAAGUGAAUUAUAUAUUAUCUCAGCAGAUAUUGCAUGGUAUAUGGAAAGCAUAUCAGGGAAGGGGGUGUAAAGUGUCAUGAGAGGAAUUACAAUAUUAAUAGGAUGUUAAGACAGCUCCUACUGAAGCCAUGUUUAAACAGACACUUGGAGGAGAGGAGGGAGUUGGCUAAGUUGAUAUUUGGGGUAAGGCAUUCCAGGAAGGGGGAUCAGCCAGUUCAAAGCCCUGGGGGGUGGGGGCUGUGCUUGGCAUAUUUGAGGAGUGGUAAGGAGGCCAGUGUGGCUGGAACAGAAUGAUCAAAGAAAAAGGUGGUAGUAAAUGAGGUCAGAUAAACAGUAAGAGACAAGGGAUUUUUAGGUCAUCUAGAAUUUAGAUUUUUUCCUGAGAGGGCAGAGGAGCCACGAGAAAGCUCUGAGAUGAGGAUGAGAUGAUCUAAUUCAGGUUUUAACUGGAUAGUUCAGAGCAAGAGUGGGGGCAGGGAACCAGUGAGGAGACUGUGGCAAUAAUCACGAAAAGUGGUGCAGCGGCUUGGACCAGGGAGUUAGCAGUGGAAGCAGAGAGAAGUGACAACACUCUGCAUAUGGGAAAGGGUGGGCAGGAGAGAACAGUGCCCAAGAUGAUCCAGUAUUUUGGCCUGAGAAGCUGGGGAAAAAGAAACAACAACAACAACAUCAGUGGAAGGGGUUUCAGGGAGUCCAGGUGUUCUGGUUGCAGCUUUGUUUUGCCUUAAAAAUAUUUGAGUACGUAACUAGUAAUGGGAUUGCUGUCCGGCCUUUCCUCUUAGAGUUUGCAGUCUAAGGUAGAGAAAUAUAAUAAAAGAAAAUGCAUGAAUUUUUAACUAAUAUGGUGUGGGUUCUAAAGCUCAGAUAAAUUAUUUCGUUUAGUUCUCACAACAACCCUCUGAUGCAGGCACUAUUAUUUCCCCCAUUUUAAUAAUGAGGAAACUGAAGCACAGAGAGCUUGGUUGACUUGCCCAAUAUUACCACACUCUGUGUGGCUAAGCUGGGAUUUGAACCAAGAAAACUCUCUUCCCAUAGGUCGUUGAAAAAUUAUGAAAGGUUAAGCCACCUCUCUGCUUGUGUUGCCUAUUUCCACCAUGUGAGUCCAAUGUGUGGUGACAGAGAAGGGUAGAUGUUUGGCAUCUGUGAAUUCUGUGGAUUGUGUGUCAUGAUUCUUUAUUUCUGUCCUCUGUAUCCUGAAUUGCCACUACCCUGAGCAGGUGAUAAGAGUAAAAUUCCAUUACAUUGGUCUUGAGGGGAUGGGCAAACACUUUGGACUCUCUUGAUAUUCUAGUUAUUAAAUAUUGCUCAGCGUAAGUUAGACAAUGAAUGAGACUUGUUGAUGUUUUCAUUUCAAUUUGUCUUAUAAUGAUCUGUGCUCAACAUGUAAAACCAAUAGAUGUAACACCUUUGGAAUAUUUCUGAGUAAACAUGGGGCACCAACUCAAAGAGCAAGAGGUAAAAAUGCCUAGUGUGGAUCAAAAUCUACUCUAUGACAGGGAAUCUCAUGGGCUCUGAAGGAUUCUGGUCACAUAGGGAGUAAAUAGCAGACUCUCAAUUCAGAGUCAGAUGUGAGUUCACACGCAAUGUUUUGGGACUUCAUCCUGUCUUUUCCCUGCUCUGGGAGUCAUAAGAAUUAAGUUCUAAUCCUAAUUCUGUUGUUAUCUACCUGAGUGACACUAAUUAGAUAUAUAACUUCUCUGAGGCUCGACAUUUACAUCUACAAAUAAAGAAGGCUAGAAUACUAAAGCCUCUUCUAUUUCUUCCAAUUAUUGAUUGUAUCGGCUCUUACUCUAUAAAUGGUUUCUUCUAUUUUAGGGAAAUUAAUUAUUUUGUUCUUAUGGUGUUGCUGGACCUGUUGCUUUUCAUUGCUGUAAUUACUUCUCUUUGUUGAAGACCUUUGCCAGACGAAAUGUGAUGGGUGUAUAAGGCUCUGGCAUUUUGCCCAGGUCUGUAGCACAUAGAAUUCCACUAAUGGGUCUGCUGGGCAUCUGAGACCACAGAGCCAUUUGUCAUAACAUGACAAUUCCAGUUGGGCAGGGAUAAAUGUUAGCUUUAACGAUUUUGGACCAGAGUUUGUCUAGAGAGAGAGCAGAGUACAAAGCCAAAAGCAUCAUCUUUAGAGCUAAGCAGGCAUGAGUUCAAAUCCCAACCCAGCCACUUACUAGAUAUGUAGCCACAGCCACCGCCAAGUCUCAAUUUAAAUGUCACUUUCUCAAACAGGCCUCCUAGGGUCUCCCACGUUGGCUUAGUCCAGAAUACUGGUUUAUCCUUACGGUAUAAAAUUUAUUCCAUCAUUAUGCACCAGUAUUUAAUAAAUGCUGAGGAAUGUGGAACAAAUAUUUGUUAAAUAAAAAGUGACUUAAUCCUUCUCUGUCUCAGUCCUCACUUCAGUGAAGUGGGCAAAAGGGUAGAACAAGUUUCCUGUGCAAAAAGAAUCAGGUCAAAGUGCCCUAGAAAUAGCAAACACUGUCACAACCCUAGAUAGCAUGAUUACAAUCUGAAAUAAACUAGUUCAAAAAGCAAAUCUCAGACUCAAGUGGGGCUUUUUCUAGUUUAGAACUUGGAGUUAGAAGAAGAAAGAAGGGGGCUAAAGUGUGCUGCGUGUCUAGAUGUGCCAGGCACUGUACGUAAUAGAAUGUCACACAUUUAAUAUUUGUCUAAAAGUGUGAAAGUGUGAAUUUCCAUAAGAGGGACACAGGUUCUUGGUAAAACCAAGGUUUGCUCUAACUUUUCACACACUUUGGCAGACGGUUUUGCCUUUUUCUCCUAAGUUGGAACUUUUGAGGCCAUUACUGCCAGGAGGGAAAAGUUAGUGAUGCUUAUCUAUGUUCAGAACUAGAAAAUGGCCCCUUCUGGUCCCCAGUUUGGCCCCAUUGUUAUUCACAUGCUGCCUAUAAAAAGACAAAACCUCCAGAAGGUGGAAAAGAUGAAUAUGCAGAAUGCUACACAUAGAUACUCAUGUAGGUGAGAUGGCGAACACAGCAGAUUUAGGUCUACCAAUAAGAUACUACCCCAUUUGGGAUGACACACCUUCCUUAGAAGUGACAGUGGCAGAACAUAGACAAAGGGACUAAUUAAAAGUAUGUGGGUUCUGCAGAUUGCAUCUGGAGUAAGAGUCCAGUGAUCUAAAUUGUAGGCCAAGGCCUCUUGCUUGCUAACAUCCUCUGUCUGCCUCAGUUUUCUUACCUGCAAAAUGGAUCACUGAACAUCACAUUUCUCUUUAUUAAUUUAUUCAUUCACUGAAGAAGCAAGCUGUCAAAAAGCAACUGCUACAUAUGUCAAGAAAGAUGCCAGAUGCUAAAAUAAAAUACAAAAAUUUGAUUACUACAAAUUGCUACCAUCGAGGAGUCAUAGUCUAAUGAAAGAGAAAAACAUGAGAGUGAAUAAUGAAGUCAGCAAAAAGUUCAAAAGAAAAAUAAAUAAAAGGCAUAGAUAUUAAAAAUGAAGAAGUAAAACUAUCUUAUUCAGAAAGGAUAUGAUUAUGUACGGAGAAAAUCCCAAAGAAUCUACAACAUCAGACUCAUCAGUGAAUCUAGCAAGAUCACUGGAUACAGUUUAUAUAUAAAUGUUAUCAAUAAUUGUAUUUCUGUGCCUGACAACAAAAAAUUGAAGACAACUUUUAAAACAACAAUGUUUAUAAUGACACCGAAAAAUAUCAAAUUAGAAGUUCAUGUAAAUUGUAGUUUCCAAGAGCUCCCGCUGGAAAUUGGAAGCCAUUGUUGAAAUAAAUUAAAGAAGAUUUAAGCAAAUGGAGAGACUUACCAUGGUUAUGGUUCGAAAGACUCUACAUUGCUAAGAUGCAAUUUACUCCAAAAUUGUCUACAGAUUCAAUACAAUUUCAGUUAAAGUUUCUGAAACUUUCAUUUGUUGUUGUUGUUUUUGGAAUAGACAAGCUGAUUCUGAAGUUUAUAUACAAAUGCAAAGGACGUAAAACAGCUAAAGAAAAUUUGCAGAAGAAAGAAACUAAAAGAAUUACACUGUCAGAUUUCGAGACCUACUACAAAGCUACGAUUAUUAACACAGUGCAUAUUGGUACAAGAAUAGGCAAAUAGACUAAAGAAACAGAAGACAGAGUCCAGAAACUGAACUACACAUACACGAUCAUCUGAUUUAUUACAAAGGUGCCAAGGCAAUUGAGUAGGAAGAGAACGAUGUUCUACGUAAAUGGCAAUAUUGAGUAUCUGUAUGGUAAAAAAUAAAUCUUGGCUAUAUGUCAUAUAAUAUGGACAAAUUAAUUACAAAUGUAGUAUACACCAAAUGUGAAAGGUAAAACAAAAUAACAUGUUAAAAAAAGUAUAGUAUCUUACCUUGGGAUAGCAGAUAUUUCUUAAACAGGACACAAGAAGUGAAAAGGCAAGCCACAGCCUGGAAUAAUAAUUUUAUCAUAAUAUAUGUAUAUGUUUCUAUCUGAGAAAGUACUCAUACCCAGAAUACAUUAAGAACUCUUACCAAUUAAUAACAAAAAUGUGUUAUUAAUAUAUACAUAUUAUGUAUACAUUAUAUGUAUCAUAUGUAUAUGGACCAUGCACAUGAUAUGUAU